GCAGUCGAACGCUUCUUUUUCACCGGAGCUUGCUCCACCGGAAAAAGAGGAGUGGCGAACGGGUGAGUAACACGUGGGUAACCUGCCCAUCAGAAGGGGAUAACACUUGGAAACAGGUGCUAAUACCGUAUAACAAUCGAAACCGCAUGGUUUCGUUUUGAAAGGCGCUUUACGGUGCCGCUGAUGGAUGGACCCGCGGUGCAUUAGCUAGUUGGUGAGGUAACGGCUCACCAAGGCCACGAUGCAUAGCCGACCUGAGAGGGUGAUCGGCCACAUUGGGACUGAGACACGGCCCAAACUCCUACGGGAGGCAGCAGUAGGGAAUCUUCGGCAAUGGACGAAAGUCUGACCGAGCAACGCCGCGUGAGUGAAGAAGGUUUUCGGAUCGUAAAACUCUGUUGUUAGAGAAGAACAAGGGUGAGAGUAACUGUUCACCCCUUGACGGUAUCUAACCAGAAAGCCACGGCUAACUACGUGCCAGCAGCCGCGGUAAUACGUAGGUGGCAAGCGUUGUCCGGAUUUAUUGGGCGUAAAGCGAGCGCAGGCGGUUUCUUAAGUCUGAUGUGAAAGCCCCCGGCUCAACCGGGGAGGGUCAUUGGAAACUGGGAGACUUGAGUACAGAAGAGGAGAGUGGAAUUCCAUGUGUAGCGGUGAAAUGCGUAGAUAUAUGGAGGAACACCAGUGGCGAAGGCGGCUCUCUGGUCUGU
rnacentral:rRNA from 1 species